AAAAACAUUAAAACCCAAUAUAAACAAGGCAUUCGUUGCAUCCAGUGGGGACAUAAUUACGGAUUAUAAUGACUUAUACUGUCUUUUUACGCGUUGCAUUGCAUCGCGCCGCGUAAACAUAAAACCAUGUCUGCAUUUGUGAUCGGAGAAAUGACAAACAGAUUCGGAUCAGCUCCAGGCACGACGAAGCGGAUAUUGUCCUCUUUUGGAAGGCCAAACAAAGUAGUUUCACUUUCACAACGAAACACACAGCGUCUUCACGACAUGGCGGCGGCGGCAACAAUACUACAGCGAGAAUAAAAGUUACGCUUUCUUUCUUUGCGUGAACAUUUGGGCGGCGUUAUGCAAAUCUUCCCACAUAGUGAUGUAGAUAUGUGGGGGCGUGUUAGAACGAGCCGUUUUAGGUAGGCGUGGUUGACUCUUAACUUUUAUAAAGAAUAUCUCUUUGGAUUUGAGACUUUAGUCUUUGCAACUUUACAGAUCUUCUUUAUGCACCAAGAGCUUGUAACACUCCAAAGAGAAAGGAAAAAUUGAAAUCGCAUCAUAUGACCCCUUUAAUAGUUUUAGCUAAUGAUAAUAUUGAGGGACUGGAAAAGUCUCCAGAGGAGCAGAAGAGACUGGACUGGACCGACGGAUCGAGCAGUGGAAGAGAGAGAUGGAUCGAGAGCUGAGCAGUCUGAGAGGUCAGAUCAACCGAGCCGCGACUCUAGGAAACCAGGAAGAAAGUUUCAGCUCUAAACUCCGCAGAGAAGAACUGGAGCAGCUCGGGAGAGAGGUGGACAUUCUCAAAAACAAACUCAUGCGGCAGGAGGAAGAUAGAUACGUUCCAGCUCCAGUCAGAGGCCAGAGAAGCAAGGAGACAGUAUGAACGCAGCUCUAAAGUAAAGAAAUUAUACACACGCUCAUAUAUGUACACUAUCGCUCAAAAGUUU
rnacentral:lncRNA from 1 species